ACAUAUAUACACAUACAUACGUAUAUAUGUACAUAUAUGUACAUAUAUACGUAUGUAUGUGUAUAUAUGUG
rnacentral:pre_miRNA from 8 species